GCUUGUCUCAAAGAUUAAGCCAUGCAUGUCUAAGUAUAAAUGUUAUACAGUGAAACUGCGAAUGGCUCAUUAAAACAGUUAUAGUUUAUUUGAUAAUCGAAUUUUACAUGGAUAACCGUAGUAAUUCUAGAGCUAAUACAUGCACAAAUCCCCGACUUUGAAGGGGUGUAUUUAUUAGAUGGAAACCAAUGCGGGGUAACCCGGAUACUGGUGAUUCAUAAUAACUUUCGGAUCGGUUUUUAAUCGAUGCAUCAUUCAAGUUUCUGCCCUAUCAGCUUUGGAUGGUAGGGUAUUGGCCUACCAUGGCUUUAACGGGUAACGGAGAAUUAGGGUUCGAUUCCGGAGAGGGAGCCUGAGAAACGGCUACCACAUCUAAGGAAGGCAGCAGG
rnacentral:rRNA from 1 species